rnacentral:rRNA from 1 species
CCGGUUGAUCCCGCCGGAGGUCACUGCUAUCGGGGUUCGAUUAAGCCAUGCGAGUCGAGAGGGUUCAGACCCUCGGCGGACUGCUCAGUAACACGUGGAUAACCUGACCUGUGGUGGAGGAUAACCCCGGGAAACUGGGGAUAAUACUCCAUAAGUUACGAAAUCUGGAAUGAUUUGUAGCUCAAAGCUCCGGCGCCACAGGAUGGAUCUGCGGCCGAUUAGGUAGUAGUUGGGGUAGAGGCCCAACUAGCCUGUAAUCGGUACGGGUUGUGGGAGCAAGAGCCCGGAGAUGGAAUCUGAGACACGAUUCCAGGCCCUACGGGGCGCAGCAGGCGCGAAAACUUUACAAUGCAGGAAACUGUGAUAAGGGAACCCCGAGUGCCCGUACACGCGGGCUGUCUGGGUGUUUAAAAUGCACCCAAAGAAAGGGCCGGGCAAGACCGGUGCCAGCCGCCGCGGUAAUACCGGCGGCUCGAGUGGUGACCACUUUUAUUGGGCUUAAAGCGUUCGUAGCUGGAUUGUUAAGUCUCUUGGGAAAUCCGCCGGCUCAACCGGCGGGCGUCUAAGAGAUACUGGCAAUCUUGGGACCGGGAGAGGUAAGAGGUACUCCGGGGGUAGGAGUGAAAUCCUGUAAUCCCCGGGGGACCACCGGUGGCGAAGGCGUCUUACCAGAACGGCUCCGACAGUGAGGAACGAAAGCUGGGGGAGCGAACCGGAUUAGAUACCCGGGUAGUCCCAGCCGUAAACGAUGCGCGUUAGGUGUACCGGCGACCACGAGUUGCCGGAGUGCCGAAGGGAAACCGUGAAACGUGCCGCCUGGGAAGUACGGUCGCAAGGCUGAAACUUAAAGGAAUUGGCGGGGGAGCACUACAACGGGUGGAGCCUGCGGUUUAAUUGGAUUCAACGCCGGGAAUCUC